AAUAAUUAGAAGAAAAUAAUUCAUAUCAAUAAAUAAUAAUCAACGGAAUGCGUGCAUGAUCGUUAAAUAUUACUACUGGUAUUCUUUAAAACUCGGAAUACAUUCCAUGAAUAGCGGCGCAUGUUAUUUAAAAUGAAAACAUAUCAAAUACAUUAUGCAACGGCCAACGGCAAAGAAGUGAAACAAUUUUUAUAACCAUAUAAUAAACGUGCACAAAAACUAUUCAAUGUCCGACUGACUCGCGGAUCAUAUGGAUUAUUUAGGGAGCAAAGAGCGAACAAGCUUAUAAUACAGAUGGAAGCCCUCAAAUUCGCAUUGAUACCGAUCGAAUCGCAAAGCAUAG